GUGAAAUACAAUAAAGAUAAAAAAGAAAUAAAUAAAAAGUCUACUUGUACAUCAGUACUGUCCCUUAGUGAUACAUUUUCUAGACGCGUUUACAACGAUAGAGGAGCUAAAUACAAUACCCCAUAGCGUACAUGACCUUUGAAUCGGUUGCGUCCUUGGGGUUUCAUUGUCUCUAGAUAGACCCCCUCAAAAAUAAAAAAUAAAACUGGUAAGAGGGCCCUCUCACGAGUUUAAUUUUUUUUGGACUUACAGUGGACUCUAGAUCAUUGCAGUCCAGUCUCCUCGCAGACUAGGUCCAGCUUAUCAGGGAAAUGGAGAGUGCUUUCUGGGCAACGAUGACUGUUCCUGUUUGCAUCUGCAGUCUCUCCUUGGUUCUCCUAACUGUGGAAUGCACAUUACAAGGGCGCUCCUUCAUUUCCCAACCACUCAGCCUGCUCUCAGGGUCACCUACCAACAAUAGCGCUGUAACCCUAGACACACAUUCUGGAGAAGACCUGUUCAUGUGGCUAAACCUCCUAUUCCACCAGAAUGGGGAAGCAGUGUUCGUUACCCCACUGUACAACAAGUCUUCCAUUUUCUGGACUAAGCACACUGGAUUGCAGCCAUUUGAAAAACUGGGUCUGUGACAUUGUCCGUAGUGACACGGUACCUACCCUACUUGUAGUAAAUCAGCAGCAUGUAAAACAUACAUAUACAUAUAUAUAUACACACACACUUCAGAAUUUAUUUAUAUUGUUGGUACUUAUUUGUAAACACACCUUAAUCAUCUUUUUUUACCAGUGGGAUGUUUUGUGCAUUGAGGAUGUAUAACACACAAUAUGUUUUUGUUAUGUUUUACCUGGACUCCCACUGGCACAAGUCUCAAGGUCCCGGGACAACUCUUGAUGUAUGCUUUACUAUAUUUUCUCUGACAAAUAUGUUUUCAGGCUAUGUUACAAAAGUCAAUAGGCAAAUAUUCAAGCAAUUAUGAGCAAAGAUAAUUAAGUUAUUUGCAUGUUAUUAGCCAUAAUCCAUGUAAAUAAUAUAUAAAUACAAAAUACAGAAAAUUACCCAAGUAUCAUAAUUUGCCAAGCUUGACACACAAACUGUAAAGCAGUAGGGUUUGUUCAUAUAUCAAGUCUUGUUUUAAACUGCUUUAGGAACCCUUACGUUAUUAAAACAAGACUUACAGGAACGCUCACACCCUCAUAACAAUUCCAUCGCAAAGAAAGUUGUUCUAGUGCAGGAGUUUCACUUACCUAACUUUGGGGUUAAAUGGUUUGAAAACAAUUUAACCCCUGAAGGUUGGUCCCCAGAUGCUCAGCUAUGCCUCCUCUCUCAGUAUCUUAGGGGAUGAUCGAAAAAGCACUACUGAGGAUUUUAGGUAUGGUCUCCAGUGCAUAGUGGAGCUCAUAAGGUUUUGAAAGAACAAGUUGUUGGACUCAAGUGUUUUAGCAUGUCCAUUGGCAGCUGCCGUGAGAUUAGCCUAUUUUGGAACUGUAUCACUAGGAUUUUGGUAUGCGGAACAGGCUGCUUAUGGGGCACUGCUUUCAACAAUUAUAGAGACAAUAGGAAUGGCAUGAAAAUUCUGAUAAAGUGUGGGAAAUCUUCAGUUGGUUCUGAUUCAGUUAUAACACUGACUCAGAUGUAUAGUGGUUUCUCCUCCUGUGUGUCAAUUCUUGUGACAAGUGACCCUUACUUCUUCCUUUGUAUAAAUCUUGUCAAAUUGGUUCACUUUAAAUAGGUUUUACUUUAGGAGUUACCCCAUGUAGACCACAGGUCUCCAGAUAUUAAUUAAUGGAUUACUGAAGUAAGGCACACGUUUGCAGGUUAGAGUUUUAGCUCAGCAACAAAGUAGUUCUCUGCACCUCUGGUAUUGCAUAAAUACUCUGUUGGUUUCUGAAAUCUGUUUUUGGUCAGUAAGAAAUAUUCUAGGAUUAAUACAUAUUAAUAAAUAAUCCGUUGCCUUUUAGAAAUACUGAAUGAAUGUUCUAACUUUAAAGAGGGACUCUCACUACCAGAGAAAUUACAGUUACCACUAAAGAGACACUAUUGCAGCACAUACUUGAGUUAAUAACGCAGUUUUUUUUUGAUGGGGGGAAAGUUUACUUACCUCUUCUGCACUUCUAUUUUGCAUAAACUCUGCAACUCCAGGAUACCUUGGGCACAAAUGCGGUGAACUGCUAUAUCUAUGCAUGCACAGUAGACAUAUUGUAAAAAAAAUAAAAAAAAUAAAAGCCCCACACCCAACAGCUAACUUCUACUUGGCCAUUACAAAUUAAAUAAACAGUUCUGCAUUAAAAUCACCAAUAAUUAAAAGAUUGUUUUGCAUAUUUUAAGUGUAUGCUAUUUUGUUAUGUACAUAUGGAUCAUAUGAAGAAUGUGUGCAAUCUACAUUUUGUGACUCUACUUCAGUAACCUUGGAAUGCCUUCUUGCAAAGUAAAAUAUUGUAAUGCAUGAAUAAACAUUACUUGUACCCAACCCCUCCCCCUAAGUUAAGACACCUUCCCAAGCAGGUAAAUCCUCUCCCUUGACAAUGGCCUUCCUCUUCAUUGCAUCAACAUCAGAACUUUCAUGUACUCACUCAGAACAAGCAAGACAUUCUAGUUAGAGGAAUAUCAGAAUAUCACUGUGACAGAUCUGGGGAACAGCCGGUAGGAGAGUUUCGCUGCCACUCAGUCCUUGACAUAAAGGUUUAUGCAGAGAAGUGGUUGACAGGUGGAGGGUGGUACUAUAUUUUUAAGAGGAAGCUCUCAAAAUACAUAUACUUACAAUCAUGUUUGCUAGCACAGUAAACGGCCUGAGCUGAACAAAAGCAACAAACAUAAAAGGCAGAGACAUAUACCAGGCAAACUUUACUUAAUAAAAAAUAAAAAAAACACACACACACACAACAUAGUUAAGAAGUUUAGAUUUUUCUACUCUCAGAGGCCACACCAUUCAUGAUAGACAACUUAGAAUUUGUGCAUACUCAUGUAACACACCAUAGUGCGGCCACAACUAACUUAAUUCAAGAAAAACAUAAUUAAAGCCAUUGGGUAAAUGAAUACAGUAUGGCAUCUAUUAACUGGAAAAGUUAUUUCACAAUUUUUUUUUUUCCCAAUUAAAACUACUGCGAAGUGCUAAACAAUAUAUGUCACAUGUUGGUUUAUUUGUAGUGAAUGUAAGUUUUGAACAUAGUCUAUAGAGACUCUGGGAAGAGACUUAAUAUACAUAAAUUUCCAACAUAACAACUGAUGCAAGUAACUCUUUUCCCCUUUAAAACUUUUAUGGGCAUUUUUAAAGCAUUAUUUCGACAAUAUUAAACCAGCAGGUUUAAAGGAUCACUAUAGGGUCAGGAACACAAACAUGUAUUCCUGACCCUAUAAGUUUUAAAAUCACCAUCUAGCCCCCCUGUGCCGCGCAUGCCUCCAUAAAUAUAGCAAAAUCUUACUGUAUUCAAGCCUGAAACUGUAGAUCUGCAUGCUGUCUGACUCAGAAAAACAAGUAGUCUGCUGACAUCAUCAGAAGUGGUAGCCUGAUCCAAUCACAAUGUUUCCCCAUAGGAUUGGCUGAGACUGACAAAGAGGCAGAUCAGGGGCAGAGCCAGCAUGAUUCAAAAACAGCCCUGGCCAAUCAGCAUCUCCUCAUAGAGAUGAAUUGAAUCAAUGAAUCUCUAUGAGGAAAGUUCAGUGUCUGCAUGCAGAGGGAGGAGACACUGAAUGUUUGGUUGCAUUUUAGGCAGCCAUGACCCAGAAAGGAUCUCUAACAGCCAUCUGAGGAGUGGCCAGUGAAGUUAUCACUAGGCUGUAAUGUAAACACUGCAUUUUCUCUGAAAAGACAGUGUUUACAACAAAAUGCCUGAAGGUAAUGAUUCUACUCACCACAACAAAUUCAAUAAGUUGUAGUUGUUAUGGUGACUAUAGUGUCCCUUUUAAUAUGGUUCCAUAACAUAAAACCAAAAAUAGAUUUUCUUCAGAAUUUUGCCACUUUAAAUUAUUGGUAUAUGAAAUGCAAGAUACAAAACAGAUUAUCUAUAAUUUUUAAUAAUAUAUCAUAACACUGAAGAGGCAAAAUGGAAAUAAAAACAAAAAAAAUUAAACAAAAACAUUCCUCCGUUAAAUCCAACAUAUUAAAUCUACAAGAAAAAUGCCAUAAAAUGAACACAUUUGGUGUAAACAUACGAUCGAACAGCAAGUAGAUUGUGCAUAAUGCUGCCGACAAAGUAGCAUAAAACGGAGAAAGACAUAGGACAGAGGUGUAUUAGCUGCUAAAAAUUCACAAUAACAGAUUCCAUACACCCCAAAAAUCAGUUCCAUCAUUUGUGAAAUAAGGAUUUUUACCAGUUCACGAUUUAGGCAAAAUUUACCAUCAAUGAAACAACUUGUAUAGAGAAGAAAAAAAAAAAAAAACACAAAACAAAGCAAACAAAAAACCCAAAGAACAUGUCAGUCCUCGUUUAUGUCUCCAUCAACAAUAUUUUUAAACUGGACGGUGGAAAAUUUUAUUUUCUUAUUUUUAAAUUGUCGAUGAGGCACACGAAGGACUACUGUUGACAGACACUAGCUUAUACAGUCAUGUUAUUUGCGUUGUAUUAAAUGGCAGAAAAACUGUACUGUUAAGGCAAAAUGCUUUUAUAAUGAAAAAAGUAGACAAUGAAAGCCUCAGAAUGUUAUUGCAGCUGAAUACAUUUUUUUUAAAAUUCCUUUUAUAGGUUAAAAAGCAAACCAUACAUUUCAAACUAGUUUUAAGUAUGUAACACAAAUUCUUAGCAUAAAACUCAUACUUAAUAUUACCCGCCCUUUAUUGCACAAGUCAUUUUUAGUCAUUAAGUGGCAUAACAUGCUAAGAAAUGAAACCACAAUUAGUGUCCAGCACACACAGUAUCAGUUACUUCAAAAUAAAUAGCUUCUGAAGCAAAAAAAAAAAAAAAAAAUUAAAAAAACAAAAACAAACAUCAUACAAUAUGUCAGUCCCCUCAUAACCCCUUAAAGAAAUGGGAGAAGCUACCAAAAACAUGUUUGGUUGCCAAUGCUAACAGAAACUAAGAAAUAUGUGUUUUAGCAUGAAACUGUAUAAAAGUAAGGUAAAGUAUACUCGCCCAUCAUUUUAUGCCAAAGCAACAAACCUUACGUUUUUUUGUUUUUUUAAAUAGAGGUCAUGGGUGUUUACUGAGGUUUGUUCGUGCAGAAUCCACCAUAAGAGCAGUAAAGGCGCACAUGGAUCUAAUCAAUUUAACGUAAACCAUGACUCCUAUGGAUUCUAAUUGAGGAAGCAAUGUACAUGCAAUGCUAUUCUACUUGUGUCCCAGAUAAAACUUAAAAGACGAAAAAUUUUAAGCAAAGAUAUUUUUUUCCCACUGGAAUGCCCUUUUAUGCAAUCAGUUACAUGCAAAUAUAUAUUGUGUGUGUGUUGGGGGUUGGUGGGGGUUGAUAAAGAGAAUAAUUACAGUUAAAUUAAAUUCUAAAAUCCAAACACAAUCAAAAAAUAUCUUAAGACAAAGUAGAGAAUAUAUACUUAAUACGGGCUUAUUUAUGGCAAAAUAAGGCAGACGCCAUAGCAUUAAUUGGCGUCUGCCUAAUUAACUUGCAAUACCCAUAAGAGGUCAUUCACAGUAACAGACAGAAACAAGCAUUUUAACUCACAAUGCCCAAUACAUGCAUAUUGAGAGAAGCAUUGUGGGAUCUGCCAUAGCAGAUAUUAUGCAAAUGUGCAAGUGCAAAUAUGACAUGGCUUGUUGCAGCUUCCUCUGGAAAGAGCUGAGGAAAGAAAAACCUCUCUUACCAGUCCCAAACAUGCAAGUGGCCUCUCAACUAGCGGGUGCUGGGAAAAGUAAAAAAAAAAAUCCUAAAAUAAAAGCACCACUUGAAAGAAAAUCAGAAUGUGAAAUGCUUGUUGUACAAAUGAUCACAAGCCUCUAGGGAUUUAUGGAAACCCCCAAAUCUGCAUGUUUACGGUUAGCUGUCAAACCAUUUCACCAUUUCCGCUUUAAUUUGAGAUAAACAAGGGAUGAGAAGGUGUUUAACAUUUCUGUUAGGACUGGUAAAAAAUAAAUAUACAAUUGGUUCUUGGAGUGGGAUAUUACUGAUAUUUUAACAAUACAGUUCCAAUUAUAGUUAGAACUAUGGUCAUGGUUAUUUAAUUACUAAACCAGGAUUGCAAAGAACAGAAAAGGGAAAUACAUUUCAAAACAAAAUGGCAGAGAUGCACCAAUUUUCUCUCUUUACUGUUGUUGCUAAGUUAUUUGUCAUUUGUCCUCAUUAGCCAGAUUACUUAAGAAACUCCAUACUUUCUAUCAUGCAUGUCGCUAUUUUUUAUACUAGUUUGCUAUAAUUUUUUAGAACUAGUGCAAGACUCUAGAGGUAUUCUUCAGUCAUUUGAGUGAGCUUAUAGGGCUACUCUAGUCUCCAUGACCAUAUUUGAUUCUAGAAGUGGUCAUGGUGGUAGGAGUCAGUAUCAGCAGCAUUCCUGCCAGAAAUAUUACACAUUCAGAGAUACUUGCACUUCUGUAACUGCACUGGAACUCCGUUACAGGCUGUUAAUGUCAAUGGUGUGCAAAAAUUACAUCUGUCGUCUGCAUGCACACAACAGAAGUAGAGAGCUUCCACCCUUGCAUGUGGUGCUGGGUGUGUGCAAGGGAAUGUUGAGUCUCCCUUCCUUACAUGCACUCUCCCUCCAAGCAUUAAGAGGUCUGUUCUGACUUUUAUUAAUAUUAUUUUUGUAAUACUCCACUCCCUUCCUUGUCCACUUCUCACACCGGCUCAGAGUAUGUGCAUGCUCUCUAAGCUGGUGAAAAGCACUUGAACUGUGAGUCAAGGUGGAUCCCAGAGCUGGAGUCAUAGUAAGUUUUAUAUUCAUUUAUAAAUAUUUACUUAUAUUCCAUUC
rnacentral:lncRNA from 1 species